GGGACCCCUAAAAGUUGUCUUUACUGUUAAUAAAAUAUUGUCAAGGUAAGAAAAACCUUCAUGAAAGGUGAAAAAAGAAAAGCAAAUUUUAAAUAAUAUCUAUUACAAAUAAUUUUUAGGGAAAUGAAACCAAAGGGCCAGCUUUCUGACUUCAAUUUUCAAGAUGAAUGUAACAGCAAAGAUAAGGUCACAUCGGAUUAUGCUGAACUUGAAACCAUCGACAAAACAGAUACAUAUGAAGAACUUGAUUAAGAUGCUGUUGGGAAAAUAAACCUUCUUACUGAGUUAUAAAAAUAUGUUGUUACUGACCAGCACUUAGAUGGAUUUAUUUGUUUUAUUGUGACGGCAAAUUGAAAACUGAUUUCCAAUGAGUGUCAAUGUGCUUGAAACUUUAAGACAGAAUGUAAAAAAAAAAUGCAACAAUGUUAUAUAUCUAUACUUUUAAGAGGAUAAUAAUUUACAUAU